UACGAAGGGGGCUAGCGUUGCUCGGAAUUACUGGGCGUAAAGCGUGUGUAGGCGGUCUCGUAAGUCGGAUGUGAAAGCCCUGGGCUCAACCCAGGAAGUGCACUCGAGACUGCGAGGCUAGAGUAUCGGAGAGGUUGGUGGAAUUCUCGGUGUAGAGGUGAAAUUCGUAGAUAUUCGGAAGAACACCAGUGGCGAAGGCGGCUCACUGGCCCGGUACUGACGCUGAGGUGCGAAAGCGUGGGGAGCAAACAGG
rnacentral:rRNA from 1 species